GCUCAAGCCAUUUUCAUUUCGGUCGUCCUCCAGGACAAGGCGCUCGACCUCAUUUGUGCAGGAAGGAGAAAAAAAAAGAUAAUAGCUGCAGUUUAAAAUUAGAUUUUUUUUUAAAAUGCAGGCAGGAAGAACAUAGAUGGGCCGAUAUUGAGUGGAAUCAUGUUGCACUUCUCCAGCACAAAUCACCAAAGGGGGUCUGACCACGGGACUUCCUGUAGGAUGCUGAUCGGGCAGUCUGUGCACACACACACUCACACACAGCAUAGAUUGGACCCAUGCCCCCCCCCCUUUUUUUUCCCCAACUGAUGGCGAAAGCCGAGGGAAUACCAAUGAGCAUCUCUGCACGUGCAUGAGUCAAAGCGGUCGUGAAAUCUUGUUCCUCUUUUUGUGCUGCACUGACAAAGCAAUCAAACCACCUCUGACCCAUUUUGCGCAGUCGACCAGGAAUGCAAAUCAACGUUGCAAGACACAAGACGGCCAUUAAAUCACCGCUGCACAUUUGAAUUUGAUGGUGAAGGAGAGACACACACAAAUACUCCCCCGCCCCCCCCCUGCAUACAAAGAUCGAGUGCGAUUUUGAGGAAUGCUCCCAAAAUUCCUUCGUCUCACGCCGAGUGACACGAUCAGCAGAGAGCGCCGGAGGAAUGUCGCCGCUGCGUUUCUGAGCGCGCCUACGUCAACCUACGGCACAACCCAAGAGAACUUGUGAAAAGGGAAGAAGACAAAGCGAGCGGCAUGUGGGUUAAGCACAAACACGUCCGUCAAGACUCACGAGGCAGGAAAUAGAGCACAGGUAGCUUUUCGCUGUCAGGAAUCAAUUAAUACUUUGAGGAAACAACACAAUCGUGUGGCUGAUCGAACAGAACGCCAUCUUUGUGUUCAACUAAAUGAGGCCCGGAUUCCACAACGAGAGAAUAAAUACUGAUAUAAAUGUUUUUUUCACACUGAAUACAAUGUACUCACAUUUCAGAACUCAUCAAAACAAAGUACUGAUAGUGGAUAAUGUCAUGACACUUUUGCAACUGUGACGAAAAUUGAACACUUUUUAGAGUAACGAGUCGCCAUUACUGAUAUUUGAACAUUCACUUCCAUGUAUUGUCAUUUCAGAUAUGCUGAAAGAAAUUUCAUACUCGGCGUCUCAGUGGAGAUCAUUAUCCACAUUACAGACAAUAAAUUGAAAUUUUAAGCUUGACUGCUUCUCCACGAGGCUGACGUGUCUCUUGACCCACCUGCCCCGAAGUUUAAUAUCAGGCUGGUCAAGGUGGUACCGAUGUCAUAGUAUCGGGGCAGACACAGAGUAUCGGCUACUUUAUCAAUACUUUAAAGGAGUGGGAGAAAAACUGGAUAAAUGCAUGGUGUUUUAUUUGCUCAUAGAAAAGUAGAGACGAGAGUGAUGACUUUUAUUCUAAUUUUAGAAUAGUGACAUUUCACUGCAGUCAGACUGGUAAGGCAGGACUCUUCAAAUUUUGGGGACUGACGAAGUAUGGUGGGGGGGAAAAAAAAACAACCCCGAUGAGUUCUCACUAGUCAGCGCUGUCCCCUGCCAAGCCUUGUCGGCACAUUCCUUCAGUGGACACACUUCCCGAAAACAACCCAGGUUCGGAUAACGUUAUAUAAUAACGGCGAAAAAAGUCCUUUUUUUUGCAAGCUGUUGAUUGAUUUAGCAGCUAACUGACGACGGGGCUAACGCCACUAACGCCACGGCGGCUCAGUUGAGGCGGAGGUGCGGGUCCAAGUCGGAUAGCAACAUUUCCUGGGUGACUUCAGGUGUGUCAAUCGUCAACCUUGACGCGUCGAGGCCUAAUAAAAUGGAUUACAACUCAAUGUUGGUCGACUGUGAGCGUCCCGAGCGAAAUUCGACGUCCCCGCUCGCCGAACUCUCGUUGCCUCGGCUGUCAAAACAAACGAACCCUCCUCACCACCAAUAGGACAAAAAAAGGGGAAAAGGCUCACUUCAAACGAGCGUCGUUAAACAGGAAGACAAGUUAUCAAAGGGUGAACUAGAAAGGCUGACGUGAACUUACGAUGCAUUUCCUGCCAAGGUGGUUAAAAAGGUAGUCGUUCUCUUGAGGCGUCAGUAGUAUGGAACCGACAUUUGUUUGCCGUUGCGGAUGAAGUCCGCUCAUUGUGAACCGAGCGAUAACGUUUACUCUAAGAAGGUAAACGGAGUCCGAAAAGAUCCAUAAACAAUCCCCGGGUCAUCCGUGGCCUUCCUCCGUCCGAUUUCCCCCUUCCUUGAGUCAGACUUUCACGGGAUGGUCGCACGGCUGUGAUGCCAAAAGUGUCGAAGAAGAAGACGCCAGAUCCGGAUUUUGUGCGAAAGGGGGUCAAAAUUGGAGCGGAAAACGCCAAAAAGUUUCCUGGGAACUCCGGCUGCCUUAGCGCCCGCAGUCAGUUCCAUCCAACAUGGCAGUGGUAGGGCGAGUCCAUUCUUGUGGAACGGGGGGUUACGUCUUCCUACGGCUGCGUCCCACGCACAAAAAUAUAUCAGUAAUACACCAAAACACAUCUUAACAGCACAACUUGAGAAUUAAAUAUGAUUACAUCAUACUUAAACGUCGUUACCUUCAUGAUUAUGCGGAAAAUAACAUCUCUCGCGAUGUCCUUCUCAGGUGUGGUACGAUCCUGUCCGCCCCUGGCUUUUAUGACAGGAAUGUAUGCAGUGCAGAAUGGGAGGAGGGGAACAAAGUCUGGAGUAGCAGGCAACCGUGUUCAUGUCAACUCAACAGAAUGCUUCAACGAAAAAUUGCAAGGCACUCGAUGAUACGCCGCUGUCUUUUCUGCGAGAUUUUGCUCAGCGUGUGCACGUACACGACACACGCAAUGUGCUUGACAGAAUGAAAAGUAAGUCAUUUGAAAGCAGUUGUAAGAACAAAAGAGACAUUUCAGUGCAAAGUCAA